UACGAAGGGGGCUAGCGUUGCUCGGAAUGACUGGGCGUAAAGGGCGCGUAGGCGGAUGGUACCGUCAGAUGUGAAAUUCCUGGGCUCAACCUGGGGGCUGCAUUUGAUACGUGCUGUCUUGAGUUCGGAAGAGGGUCGUGGAAUUCCCAGUGUAGAGGUGAAAUUCGUAGAUAUUGGGAAGAACACCGGUGGCGAAGGCGGCGACCUGGUCCGAUACUGACGCUGAGGCGCGAAAGCGUGGGGAGCAAGCAGG
rnacentral:rRNA from 1 species